rnacentral:rRNA from 1 species
GACGAACGCUGGCGGCGUGCUUAACACAUGCAAGUCGAACGGAAAGGCCCCUUUGGGGGUACUCGAGUGGCGAACGGGUGAGUAACACGUGAGUAACCUGCCCUUGACUUCGGGAUAACUUCAGGAAACUGGGGCUAAUACCGGAUAGGAAUCCUUGCUGCAUGGUGGGGGUUGGAAAGCUUCGGCGGUUUGGGAUGGACUCGCGGCUUAUCAGCCUGUUGGUGGGGUAGUGGCUUACCAAGGCUUUGACGGGUAGCCGGCCUGAGAGGGCGACCGGCCACAUUGGGACUGAGAUACGGCCCAGACUCCAACGGGAGGCAGCAGUGGGGAAUAUUGCACAAUGGGCGGAAGCCUGAUGCAGCAACGCCGCGUGCGGGAUGACGGCCUUCGGGUUGUAAACCGCGUUCAGCAGGGGCGAAGCUUGUGGUGACGGUACCUGCAGAAGAAGCACCGGCUAACUACGUG